rnacentral:rRNA from 1 species
CGAUACGAGUUGAUCAUGGCUCAGAGCGAACGCUGGCGGCAGGCCUAAUACAUGCAAGUCGAACGGUCUCUUCGGAGGCAGUGGCGGACGGGUGAGUAACGCGUGGGAACGUGCCCUUUGGUACGGAACAACUGAGGGAAACUUCAGCUAAUACCGUAUGUGCCCUUCGAGGGAAAGAUUUAUCGCCAUUGGAGCGGCCCGCGUUGGAUUAGCUAGUUGGUGGGGUAAUGGCCCACCAAGGCGACGAUCCAUAGCUGGUCUGAGAGGAUGAUCAGCCACACUGGGACUGAGACACGGCCCAGACUCCUACGGGAGGCAGCAGUAGGGAAUCUUGCGCAAUGGGCGAAAGCCUGACGCAGCCAUGCCGCGUGAAUGAUGAAGGUCUUAGGAUUGUAAAAUUCUUUCACCGGGGACGAUAAUGACGGUACCCGGAGAAGAAGCCCCGGCUAACUUCGUG